GGGGAGAUGGCGCAAUUGGUAGCGCGUUAGAUUCCAGCGAAGUUCCUUCGAGAGGCGAUUCCUAAAGGUUAUCGGUUCAAGUCCGGUUUUCCUCA